AUUGCUUCUCGGCCUUUUGGUUAAGGUCAACUGUAGUAGCUGUUCUUACCAGUUUAGUAUCUGAUCCAUCUUCUGCCAAGGGCAUUAUAUUAAAUGGAUUUUUGGAGCUGUAAGAUGGAAUAGGGGCUUGCUCUGUGUAUUCUACACAUCGACCUGGUAUUACAGUACUUCUGGGAAUGUGCACCAAAC